rnacentral:rRNA from 1 species
AGUGAACGCUGGCGGUAGGCCUAACACAUGCAAGUCGAACGGCAGCACAGUAAGAGCUUGCUCUUACGGGUGGCGAGUGGCGGACGGGUGAGGAAUACAUCGGAAUCUACUUUUUCGUGGGGGAUAACGUAGGGAAACUUACGCUAAUACCGCAUACGACCUACGGGUGAAAGCAGGGGAUCUUCGGACCUUGCGCGAUUGAAUGAGCCGAUGUCGGAUUAGCUAGUUGGCGGGGUAAAGGCCCACCAAGGCGACGAUCCGUAGCUGGCCUGAGAGGAUGAUCGGCCACACUGGAACUGAGGCACGGUCCCGACUCCUAGGGGGGGCAGAAGUGGGGAAUAUUGGACAAUGGGCGAAAGCAUGAUCCAGCCAUACCGCGUGGGUGAAGAAGGCCUUCGGGUUGUAAAGCCCUUUUGUUGGGAAAGAAAAGCAGCAGGUUAAUACCCCGCUGUUCUGACGGUACCCAAAGAGUAAGCACCGGCUAACUUCGUG